UUCUUGCCUUUCUUUUUUUCUUUUUUUUUUCUUUUUUUUUUUUUUCCUUUGCCUUGGGAAACGCUAUGAAUCCGGAGGAGAGGUUGGGAUCGGUUGGGUUCGUAUAAAAAUUACUUUACGACUCAUGCCUUUUUUCUUUUUCUUUUUCUUUUUUGUGAAAAACAAAAAAACUAG
rnacentral:ribozyme from 1 species